UUAAUUGAAGCCAAAAAGAGGCAUCUUAUUGUUAAUAAGACAAUUGAAUCAAUUUCCAAUUAAA
rnacentral:tRNA from 1 species